GGAGAUGGUGAACUCUUAUUCUUCUGGAGAACUUUGGCGUUUUCUCUGAAAGUGCAGAAACCCUACAAGAGGCCCUUCCAAUUGGAUAACAGGCUACGCUUGUGAGGAGAUCCCAGUAAUCUCACAGAAGUUGUGAAAGGCUCCAUUACAACAGACAGCUGCUCAGGGGGCCAGUGGAAGAGCAUCU